rfam:Oryza sativa (indica cultivar-group) chromosome 7, whole genome shotgun sequence.
UUUAAGUGCAACUGUAAGUUUUCGUGUCGAACUUUGAUCUUCUGUCUUAUUUGAAAACUUUUUAUAAUUAGUAUUUUUGUUGUUAUAAGAUGAUAAAAUAUUAAUAGUAUUUUAUAUGUGACUUAUGUUUUUAUUUUUUAAAAAAAAAUUAAAUAAGAUGGACAGUCAAAGUUGUGCACGAAAAUCAUGGUUGCACUUAAA